rnacentral:rRNA from 1 species
CUAAGGAAUAUUUCCGGCAAUGGGGGAACCCGUGACGGAGCGACGCCGCGUGGACGAUGAAGGCCGGAAGGUUGUAAAGUCCUUUUAUGGCAGAGGAAUAAGCGGGGGAGUGGAAAGCCCUCGCGGUGACUGUAGGCCAUGAAUAAGCACCGGCUAAUUACGUGCCAGCAGCCGCGGUAACACGUAAGGUGCGAGCGUUGUUCGGAAUCAUUGGGCGUAAAGGGCAUGUAGGCGGUCUGUCAAGCCAGGCGUGAAAGCCAGGGGCUCAACCCCUGAACUGCGCUUGGAACUGGCGGACUGGAGUCGCUGAGGGGGAA